rnacentral:lncRNA from 1 species
UGUUUCCUUCUAUUUCUUUCACCAGAAGUGGGGAAAAAACAAGGGUCUCAAAUAGGAACUGUUGUCUCUACCAAUGUGCCUUAUUAACUGGUCUACAUGCCCAUUCUCCCUGUGCCUAACCACAUUGCUACACCUUAGUGGCAAUGCCACCUCUUGUCACUCGCAUCUGAAGUGUGCCAUCAACCGUACAGUUUCAAAGUGUCCCAUUAUGGAUCUCCUCUCAGCUUACAGACAAGCUCAUGUUUUGUUUUGUCCGUCAAACAUUCUCUACUGUGGCUUUAUGGGAAGCUUCACUGUGCCCAAUCUGGCUCCCUUUAACCUGUUCUUUAUUUUCUAGCAGCAACCAUGUGAGAGAGUGGAGUGUACACACAAGUGCCUGUUCACACACCUGUGUGUAGGCACAGCUUCACUUUGGUCCCUGAGCUAGGGUCUCACGGAGCUAUGCUGGCAACCAGCAAGUCCUAGUUAUCCUCCUGUUCCUGUUCCUAUUAGGAAGAGGGAGACAUAGGACCUAGCCACACCUAGCUCUUUACGUCUACUCAGAAAUCUGAACUCAGAUCUUAUUGUUCAGCAAGUCCUGUCACCCACAGACAUCCCCAGCCCUUAUGUCUCUUUCUAAAGUAAACUUUAUCUAAAAAGAAAGAAAAACCU